CAUGUAUCUUUGUGGAGUGGCCGUAUAUUCCGCUUUGUUAUGGAUGUACACACGAUAAACAGCCGUUGCACCGGUUCCUUCGCCUAGCGGAGCUAGCUUCAGCCAAAACCCACAUAUUUCUCGUCAAAUACCUCUGAUAUUUUGCUUCUGUGGAUGCCAGUUCUGGAUGACAGUAUUCCAUGCAUGCGGGAGGGGGAGCUUUGACCCACUGGAGGUGUUUUGAGGCAGAAUAUUAGGUGAAAUCACAGUUUUCUAAGAUCUUUGGAGACCUCCCAAGCUUCGGUCCUUGGUUUCUUGUAACAUAUUAAGGACACAAAUUUGCUGUCAACUGAAAAGCUGUCAUCAGUAGCUGAUUCCAAGCCAACCUGCAAUUCGAUUUGUGCUGUUUCUUCACCGGUUCCCAUCUAUAAAUGUACUUAGCUGAAUGAAUAGCUUAGCAGCUUUGGGUGAAGAUGGUCAUUAUCGAUUGCUCUCCGUGGGAUGGACUUUACAAAUAUACGCUGUCCACCUACGUAAAAUAAACAAAUUUCACUCAUUCAGCUGGCAGUGCUAGCUUUUGAUUCCGUAAAAGAAAGACCUAAAGUAGACCAUAAUGGGCAAGGAUUUCAGUGUGAAAUGAUAAAGAUAUCAGAGCAGUGUAUGUUUCUGUUACGCUACGUUAAUUAAUUAUCACCUGAAACAAUAAUCAAAGGCCAAUCGGGUUUCCUUGGGUGGGACUUCAAGGCUGUUUGUUAUUUUGCAUAUAUUAUAGGUAACUGUCAAAGCAUUCCCAGGGCUGGCGGGAGGGUUCUUUUUUUCCUUUUUAUUUUGGUCUUAGUCUUCUCUUAGCCACUAAGUCCCGCCAGCAUUGAACCGCUUUUAGCUUGACUCUGCACUCAUCGUACAAUUAAUGCAUUAACACAUGCAGACAGGAUAAAUCGAUCUCGGGGAAAUGGCCAAUAUUUUAUUGGCGUGAUGUGGGGUCUAGGGUAGUUUCGCCUGGCUGUGUUUAGUAUAAGUAAUAAUAUCAUAAGAGAAUGUUAUUAUAAGGAUUGGAGGCAGAGAUAAGGAUUUCUGACAUUAACUUCAUGUAUGCAUAAUGCAGGUACAUGGACAGUUUGCCUUUGAGGGGUUUUCAGACAGUUCGCCCUUACGCAGGGAUCUCUGAACAUCUCUCAGAAGUUUGUUCUGAAGGCGUUUAUUUUUUUGUCUUUCGACGUCGCUGUCGUCGUUAGAGAAAUGGUUCCUUCCAGGGGAGGGGGAAAAAGUGGAAGAAGCCGGAAUAUAUGAUGGGGAUAUGAGGAGGGCCGUAAUUGCAGGGAAUCGAUUGUUAAAUUGAAAGGUACCUCUGGGUAAUUGCAAAUUGAAUGAAAUAACACAUAUCUAAUGAUAGUGGGUAUUUUUUAUAAUACACGGGUUGUAAGACUUCUAUUACGUUUAGUGUAGCUGCACAUGAAAUGUGCGUCAUCAGAACUCGGGCAGGUGAUGGUGUGUAUCACCUGGUACUUGAAGACCAUUAGUGGACACACUUUGUACCUAAAUAUUCUACAUAAUGCAUCCUUACUACGGUGGGAUGCAUGCCUCAUGUGGGAAGAAUUGUGAAGUGAUCUUAUUAUGCGAGCUUUUUAUUAGGUUGUUCUGUUGUCGACAAAGUAGGACAACCGAAACAUCAGGCAAGAUUCCAAAGUGUAUUGUGUCUGAAACAUAUGCAUGUAAUGUACAAGUUGAGAGGCACAUGGAUAGGAUACCUUGUUGUAUACCUAAUAGACCUUACGCAAUGAUGUCAUCCAGCCGCCGUCUUAGAGAAUAACGGUGACGAAACAAUCGAGACACGCAGAUUUGUACGCGUGGCUCACGGUAUCGGCCAAUGAACAACCUCCUUUUGACCUCUACAUGUAGGUGAGGGCGCCCUACUGAAAUGACGUCAUGUGCAUAAGGUCUAUUACAAUGUACUACAAUUUAUGUGUUAUUACUGAAAUCUCUUUUAAUCUAAAUUAUUUAAUAAAUCCAGUUUUGAGUUUUGAGCUCAAAGUGCUUAGUUUUACAUGUAUAAUUGAUUGAUUUAUCCCCUUUCAAGUCAGUUUGUCUCGUCUUUGAUUAGUUUGUGUUUUUGUGGGAAAAAAAAAAUGGGCAUCAUGCAUGCAUGUUUUCCUUAUUGUCAAAGUCACUGCUUGAGUAUGCACAAAUGUUUGCUCUCUCGUCUGAUACUUCAUUCUUGUUAAGACAAUUUUUUUCAUAGUAAAUAAAAUUACUGUAAAAGCUAUCAGAAUUAUCAGAGUGAAUUCUAUGGUAAUUAAAUCCUUUAAUAAAAAAAAACGUUCACAAUUUCCUGCGAGGCUUGAUGGUAUUAAUGCCAUUUUAAGAGGCCACCGCACAUGACUUCCUUCUGGCAAUAAACCAGCUUUCAUUUCAUAUUUAAUUUGUCCCUGCGAUCACAAGACAUUUAUUUAUAAUGCUCAGGCUAUGUAACCUAGGCUGUAAACUGUUGAGGUAGAAAUCGUGCAUGCCACGGCAUCCAGUGACACAUAUACGUCAUGUAUAGUCUUAUGGCGGUCAUGCAGCGUCGA